UUUACAGUUUGUCACAAGCGCGUUGUCUUGACGUAGCUGCUGCUUCGGGGUCACGUCGUACGGCUCGUCGCGUCAGCGAUGUUCGCAGCGUCGCUGGUGUAUGUCCGUCAGCUGUACCGCCGAUGUAGCUCAGGAACGACGUCGAAGUCAGCUCUCCGCAGCGGCUGUACCGCUCCCUGGCGUGUCCUCACGGGGAUGACGUCGCUGGGGUACGUCCUUGCCAGGUGCACUGCUAGCCGUCUCGGGUCGCACGUCAUGCC
rnacentral:lncRNA from 1 species